rnacentral:rRNA from 1 species
CCUACGGGAGGCAGCAGUAGGGCAUAUUACUCAAUGGGGGAAACCCUGAAGCAGCAACGCCGCGUGGAGGAUGAAGGUUUUCGGAUUGUAAACUCCUUUUGUUAGAGAAGAUAAUGACGGUAUCUAACGAAUAAGCACCGGCUAACUCCGUGCCAGCAGCCGCGGUAAUACGGAGGGUGCAAGCGUUACUCGGAAUCACUGGGCGUAAAGCGCGCGUAGGCGGGAUAGCAAGUCAGAUGUGAAAUCCUAUGGCUUAACCAUAGAACUGCAUUUGAAACUGUUAUUCUAGAGUAUGGGAGAGGUAGGUGGAAUUCUUGGUGUAGGGGUAAAAUCCGUAGAGAUCAAGAGGAAUACUCAUUGCGAAGGCGACCUGCUAGAACAUAACUGACGCUGAUGCGCGAAAGCGUGGGGAGCAAACAGGAUUAGAUACCCGAGUAGUC